rnacentral:rRNA from 1 species
GGCGAGUGAAAGGGGAAAAACUCAUAUUGGUAAAUAUAUCUUAUGAUGUAAGUUGUAGUGUGCGUGCUUUUUGCCAGUGGAAAACAGAAAGGAAAACUAUCUGGAAAGUAGUUAUGUUACUGGCGAUAUACCAGUUAACUUUCUGUUUCACGUUUGGCAGACUGCAUAAGAGUCGCGCUCUUUGAUAAUGGAGUGUAAAUGGGAGGUAGUGCUUUCCUAUGGUUAAAUACAAAUGAAAUAUGCGAUAGUUAACAAGUACCGUGAGGGAAAAUUGAAAAGUACUCUGCAAAGAGGGUUAAAUAGUAUUGAAGUUGUCUGAAGGUAAAUAGUUUAUUAGGUUUUAAUUAUGCAAUAUAUUAUUGCAUGUUGUGCGCGCGAUCAUAUUGUGAUUUUAUCUGCAUGAAAUACUAUUUUUUUGUUAGAUUUGAUUUGCGGUGUGAUUUAAGAGGAGAUAAAAUCAGAUCCUAUUGCGUUACAAACCUUUAUCUAUCCCGUCUUGAAACACGGACCAAGGAGUCUACUGUACAUGCGAGUGAAAGAAGUUAUCUUCAAAGCGUAUCGAAAGAGAAAGUUAGGCAGCAAUUUUCAUGUUGCCUCACUAACUACCAAGUGAUAUAUCUCGCUUGUGUCAGAGCAUGUAUGUUAGGACCCGAUAAGUGACGAACUACGCUUGGUGUGGGUGAAGCUGGGAGAAAUCCUAGUGGAGGCUCAUGAUCGAUACUGACGUGCAAAUCGUUCGUAUAAACUGUGCGUAGGGGCGAAAGACUAAUCGAGUCACUUAGUAGCUGGUUCCCUUCUAAGUUUCCCUCAGGAUAGCCGACGUCUGUUAAGUUGCUCCAGGUAGAGUUAAUGAUUGGGAGCUCGAGGGAGCAAUGCUCUUUCACUCACUAUCAAACUUCCAAAUGGAGCGCACACCAGUAUUUAAAUAAUGUAGUGUGUUUAAUUAAGACGUUGAGUGGGCCAUGCUUUGGUAAGCAGAGCUGGCGAUAGGGAAUCCUCCCUGAGUCCAUCUAAGGUGUCUAAAUACCCGACCACUGAGUCUAAAAGGUUAUCAAUUCAUUUUGACAGCAGGACGGUGGUCAUGGAAGUUGAUAUCCGCUAAGGAGUGUGUAACAACUCACCUGCCGAAUGGAUUGGUCCUGAAAAUGGAUGACGUACAAUGGGGUUACCGAUGGUGGACAGCCGAAGCAAAAUAUUCGGUUUGUAGAAGGGCGUAGGCAUUUUGCGGAAGCAUAAUCGUAAGAUUGUGUGGAGAAGUGCCUAGUGCAGAUCUUGGUUGUAGUAGCAAUUAUUCAAUUUUAAUCAUUGAAGUCAGAUGAGGGGAAGGUUUCCAUGUCAACAUUUGUUGAACAUGGGUUAGUCGGUCCUAAAGGGAGACUACUAGUCUUCAGAGUGUGCUUCGCCCACGCCCUAAAAGGGUUUUUGGUUAAUAUUCCAAAACAAUAUUAUGGUAUAAUGUUGGUAACAACUUCUUUAUGGUUUUUUGAAUAAUGGGGGAGGGUUGCGUUUUCUAUGCAAUAUAACAAUGUGCUUCCCUUGAAUCAGUUACACUGGAGAAAGGGAUUUCAUAUUGGCAAAAGACCUCACUUUUUGAGGUCUCCUGCUCUCUAUUAUCCAACCGAGAAAAACCAUGUUGUUUUAUGCCAUAUAAGCCGUACCGAUAACCGCAUCUGGUCUCUUAGGUUAGCAGCCUCUUGAUAAUGGAAAAUUGUAGGUGAAGGAAGUCGGCAUACUUGAUCCGUAACUUUGGGAGAAGGAUUGGCUCUGAGGGUGGAAUAUAUGCCCCUUUCUUAAAGGUUGUAUAUUGCUUGUAAUACCUGAGCUCCGGCUUAAGGUUAUUGUGGGCGGUGUACCUCCUUUUAAAAGGUGUGUAUAUAUUUCCUAAACCAACUCAGAACUGAAGCGGUCAGGUGGAAUCCGACUGUUUAAUUAAAACAAAGCAUUGUGAUGUUGUGCAAACAAUAUAACGCAAUGUGAUUUCUGCCCAGUGCUCUGAAUGUCAACUUGGUGAGAUUCAAAUAAGCGCGGGUAAACGGCGGGAGUAACUAUGACUCUCUUAAGGUAGCCAAAUGCCUCGUCAUCUAAUUAGUGACGCGCAUGAAUGGAUUAAUGAGGUUCCUACUGUCUCCACCUACUUUCCAGUGAAACAACAGCGCAGGGAACGGACUGCGAUGGCACAACGGGGAAAGAAGACCCUUUUGAGUUUGACACUAGUCCGAUUUUGUGGAUUGAUUUCGAUGGUGCAGAAUAAGUGGGAGAGUUAAUCGAUCUUGAGAUACCACUACAUCGAAUAUUGAUCCACUUAUUCCGUGUAUUUCAAAAGAAGGAAACUUCUACUUUCAUGUAUGAAGGAUUUUUAUCUGAAUAUCGCGGAAGACAGAAUUGGAUGGGGUGUUUGGCUGGGGCGGCACAUCUGUUAAAAGCCAACGCAGAUGUCCAAAGAGCAGCUCAGUGAGAACAGAAAUCUCAUGUAGACCAAAAGGGGUUAUGCUGCUUUAACUUAUUUUUCCAGUACGAAAGUAAGGUGUGAAAGCACGGCCUAUCGAUCCUUUCUGUUGAUGCUUAUUCAGCGAGAGGUGCCAGAAAAAUUACCAGAGGGAUAACUGGCUUGUGGCAGCCAAGCGCUCAUAGCGACGUUGCUUUUUGAUCCUUCGAUGUCGGCUCUUCCUACCAUUGAGAUGCAGCUGUCUCAUAGUGUUGGAUUGUUCACCCAUUAAUAGGGAACGUGAGCUGGGUUUAGACCGUCGUGAGACAGGUUAGUUUUACCCUGUUGUGCAAAUAUUUCGACAGUAAUUCAACUUAGUACGAGAGGAACAGUUGAGUCAAAUCUCUGGACAAGCAAAUUGCUGAAAAGCGCGUUUUGCAUUUCUAUAUUUGUCAGAUAUCGACUGAACGCCUC